CAGCAACUGCUGAAUGACAACUAUAAAACUGACUCCACCAGCAAAACUUGGUGGGAGAAUGGGUACUGGAUUGGCCUCACUGACAUUGAGACCGAGGAAAAGUGGGUCUGGAUUAACAAUGUGACCCAGGUGGAAACGUACUGGAUCCCGGGAGAACCGAACAACCAUGGUCCUGAUGGUGAGGACUGUGGUGCCUUUUAUUUUAGUGGAGAUCCCAUGAAGACACGGUAUGAUGGAAAAUGCCAAUAUCAUCUGUAUAACUGGUUGUGUGAGAUUAAAUUAAAGUAAACAUGCAGCCUCUCAAGCAGAUCUCAAACACUCAUUAUAUUUGAUUUCUCACAAUCAUUCAUCUUCAUCUGCUUACUCCAAUUAUGGGUCAUGCGGUC